ensembl:processed_transcript BC006965 cDNA sequence BC006965
AAUUAUGAAUGUCAUGCUACCUGAGACUUACAGUACAGAGAAACACACUACCAAACGAGUGGCCCAACCGUUACAAGAAGCACACUCCAAAUCGUUUCAUUUCUUUGAUGGUAUUAGUGGCAAAACCAGAAGUGUGGAAAAGUGAUUGCUUCCAGUUACUUGAAGGAUGGCUCACUAACCUGAAAGUUGUUGCUUAGAACGGGCAUCUUCUCAUCACUGCCUCCCCGGCUCUGGGAUUGCAAAGAUGUUCGCUUUACCUGUUUUAAUCUCUCAGGUGAGGAGUAAUGGCUACCCAAACACUGUAAUGGUGAUGAGAGUGAUGCUGGUGAUGACAGUGGCGGUGAUGAUGAUGAUGAUGACGACGAUGCUGCUGUGUCUUGAAUCCAUCCUUGCAGUGACUGACAUGAGCUAGCUCAGUUCUCAUCCAGGGCACACUGAGGAACUAGAUAGAUGUAAGUUCAGAAGAGAGAGAUGACACACGAGAAAGUCUGGACUUCCGUGCCAGACACUGUCAGAACUUUCUAGAGCA